rnacentral:rRNA from 1 species
AUUGAACGCUGGCGGCAGGCUUAACACAUGCAAGUCGAGCGGAGAUGAGGUGCUUGCACCUUAUCUUAGCGGCGGACGGGUGAGUAAUGCUUAGGAAUCUGCCUAUUAGUGGGGGACAACAUUCCGAAAGGGAUGCUAAUACCGCAUACGUCCUACGGGAGAAAGCAGGGGAUCUUCGGACCUUGCGCUAAUUGAUGAGCCUAAGUCGGAUUAGCUGGUUGGUGGGGUAAAGGCCUACCAAGGCGACGAUCUGUAGCGGGUCUGAGAGGAUGAUCCGCCACACUGGGACUGAGACACGGCCCAGACUCCUACGGGAGGCAGCAGUGGGGAAUAUUGGACAAUGGGGGGAACCCUGAUCCAGCCAUGCCGCGUGUGUGAAGAAGGCCUUUUGGUUGUAAAGCACUUUAAGCGAGGAGGAGGCUACCGAGAUUAAUACUCUUGGAUAGUGGACGUUACUCGCAGAAUAAGCACCGGCUAACUCUGUGCCAGCCGCCGCAGUAACAC